GUGCUGGCUUCGGAAACACAUACACUAAAAUUGAACGAUACAGAGAAGAUUAGCAUGGCCCCUGGCAAGGACGACACGCAAAUUCGUGGAGCGUUCCAUAUUUUU